rnacentral:lncRNA from 1 species
AUCCGUUUACUAUCCCUAUUAGAAUACUAUAUUAUAUUUUAUUUUUAUGUAAGAUGGGAUGAUUAUGUCCAUCUUAUAACAACAUGAUAUACCUUAUACAUUUCACAAAGAUAUUUUUGAUAAAAAUUUUUAAAAUAAAAUGUAAUAAGAUUAUAAUUUUUUAUCAUUACAUAAUGUCCAAAUCUACAACUAUAUCUAUUUUAUAUAAAUGUAC